UUAGCCGUGGUCUAGUGGAAGGACGCUCAAUCUGCAAUUGAUAAACGUGAGUUCGAAUCUCACCGGCCUAAU
rnacentral:tRNA from 1 species